GAUGAACGCUGGCGGCGUGCCUAAUACAUGCAAGUCGAGCGAACAGACGAGGAGCUUGCUCCUUUGACGUUAGCGGCGGACGGGUGAGUAACACGUGGAUAACCUACCUAUAAGACUGGGAUAACUUCGGGAAACCGGAGCUAAUACCGGAUAACAUGUUGAACCGCAUGGUUCAACAGUGAAAUACGGUCUUGCUGUCACUUAUAGAUGGAUCCGCGCCGCAUUAGCUAGUUGGUAAGGUAACGGCUUACCAAGGCAACGAUGCGUAGCCGACCUGAGAGGGUGAUCGGCCACACUGGAACUGAGACACGGUCCAGACUCCUACGGGAGGCAGCAGUAGGGAAUCUUCCGCAAUGGGCGAAAGCCUGACGGAGCAACGCCGCGUGAGUGAAGAAGGUCUUCGGAUCGUAAAACUCUGUUAUUAGGGAAGAACAAAUGUGUAAGUAACUAUGCACGUCUUGACGGUACCUAAUCAGAAAGCCACGGCUAACUACGUG
rnacentral:rRNA from 1 species